UCAUUGAUUUCUCCCUUCUGAUGAAUCAUGAUGUCAUUAAUUUGAUGUUGUGGGGAGUCAGGACUGUUACUUUGAAAAAAUUAGAGUGUUUAAAGCAAGCACGCGCUUGAAUACAUUAGCAUGGAAUAAUGAAAUAGGACGUUCGAUUCUAUUUUGUUGGUUUCUAGGAUCAACGUAAUGAUUAAUAGGGAUAGUUGGGGGCAUUAGUAUUCAAUUGUCAGAGGUGAAAUUCUUGGAUUUAUUGAAGACUAACUACUGCGAAAGCAUUUGCCAAGGAUGUUUUCAUUAAUCAAGAACGAAAGUUAGGGGAUCGAAGACGAUCAGAUACCGUCGUAGUCUUAACCAUAAACUAUGCCGACUAGGGAUCGGAUGAUGUUAAUUUUUUAAUGACUCAUUCGGCGCCUUACG
rnacentral:rRNA from 1 species